UUCGGCGGCAUGGCGGGGCGGGGGCGCAAAGU
rnacentral:scRNA from 1 species